GCUCUGCCUCUUUGAAUAUAUGAUAAAAUUAGAACAGUAUAGAGAAAAUUAGCAUAGCCUUGCACAAGGAUGUUCAAUCCAAAAAAAAAAAAUGUAAAGGAGCUCU